ACAUACGACCACAGCCGCAGGGAAAAUCAGGAUCCCGUCUGAUCUCCACACGAUAAACCUGCGAGCGGCAGAUUAGUAGCUGGAUCGGUGACGGCCAGCGAACACCGGCUGUCGUAUGUU
rfam:Tolypocladium ophioglossoides CBS 100239 scaffold_20, whole genome shotgun sequence.